rnacentral:rRNA from 1 species
GACGAACGCUGGCGGCGUGCCUAAUACAUGCAAGUAGAACGCUGAAGGAGGAGCUUGCUUCUCUGGAUGAGUUGCGAACGGGUGAGUAACGCGUAGGUAACCUGCCUGGUAGCGGGGGAUAACUAUUGGAAACGAUAGCUAAUACCGCAUAAUAGUAGAUGUUGCAUGACAUUUGCUUAAAAGGUGCAAUUGCAUCACUACCAGAUGGACCUGCGUUGUAUUAGCUAGUUGGUGGGGUAACGGCUCACCAAGGCGACGAUACAUAGCCGACCUGAGAGGGUGAUCGGCCACACUGGGACUGAGACACGGCCCAGACUCCUACGGGAGGCAGCAGUAGGGAAUCUUCGGCAAUGGACGGAAGUCUGACCGAGCAACGCCGCGUGAGUGAAGAAGGUUUUCCGAUCGUAAAGCUCUGUUGUAAGAGAAGAACGAGUGUGAGAGUGGAAAGUUCACACUGUGACGAUAUCUUACCAGAAAGGGACGGCUAACUACGU